ensembl:lncRNA
GCACAGACUAGAAAAUGUCUAGUGACUAGAACUUUGAUGAGUCAGGGAUUUGGAUUAAAUGAUCAACCAAUUCUUCUCCAGCUCCGAGAUUCUUUGGUAGGGGUGUGUGUCUGUCUGAUUAUGUGUGUAACACUCAUCCAUGCCCAUAGGCAUGGAGGCGGCCAAUUCAGCCUGGUGUUCAUCCAUCUUUCCAGGAGAAUUUCUGACAGAGCCUAGAUUUAGACAGGCAUGAUGACCACCGUACAUGUGUAAGCCCCACUAAGUUCAUGCCAUUCGAUACUGCCUUAUAAACCAGUGAUGUGUCCUGGGAACUCUGGUUCAUGGGAAAGCUUGGAGGCUGCAAGGCAUACAGGAAGAGUCAACAUGGAGAAUUGGAAAAGACUGGUGUUAAAGAUUAUUGAGGCCUCCUAGUCACUGAAUGACCUUAGGUAAAUCACCUUUCUCUCUCUCAGCUUCAACUUCCUCUCCCUGUAAAUGGGGGUAAUUUUACCCACGUCGUGGUAUAAUUGAGGGGGUUAAAAGAAAAGAUAACACGUGAUAGUACCUGAUGCCAGGCUGGAACACAAGGGUGUUGGCUCCUACCACCACUCCCCCAGGGCUCUGACUCCCUGCAGCCCUCCGUCAGUUGGGGAGCACCAUCCUUGGUCCUGUCCUCUGAGAUAGUGGGCUUCCUGUUCCCACUUCCAUCUCAAAUGGCUCUGAAGAAAGAACACAGUGAUCUUAUAAAAUGUCACUGAGUCAGAAGCUCUGCAGCUUUGCCAGCAGUCUGGGGGAGAGGACUUCAGAGCAGCUACAGGGAGAGAGAGAGAGAGGACACAGUCCUGGGCUGAGCUCCUGCUACAGAUGGACACCAGGGCUUCCGUCUUUCUGCUCCUUUAAUGUGGAAACAUCACACACCACACAUACACAGGCCAAUCUCACUGUGGGGGCAGAGGACAAGGGCCAGCAGGGAAUGGGAUCAGAGCCCCUGAAAGCCAGAACUGGUGCCUGCAGGGUUUGACAGAUGCAUUUGUCCAAAUGACAGUCCGGGUGGUGCCUUCCGCCACAGCCUCAGCCCCGAGCAUGAAGAUGAACAGGCUGACAGCCUCCCUGCCAGGUCUCCUCAGCAGGUUUUGCUGCUCCACUUCUCUCUCUUCUGACUGUGUCUCCCACCAGCCUUUAGCCCAGGUCUCUCUCUCUCCUUCCCCUUGGCCUCAGCAAUAAGGACUGGCGGGUCAGGGGGCCGUGUAAGCUCAGGAUGGGGCUGGGGAGCCUUGACAGAUGAUGGCUUGGUGACAGUGACUUCACCUCUGUCCCAGCUGCUGGCAUUGUCCUCGAAAGCCCAGGGUCAGCUCCCAGAAGCUGAGCCAGAGAGCCAGUUGGGUCUGCAUCUUCCACAGUCAUGGUGCUUCCUUGACCACUCUGACGACCUUCAAAACCAGCACGUUCAAAGCCACACUCAGUGUUUCUGCCACCACCAGCUGUUUACUGGUGAAAUGCAGAAAAAUUCACCCUUAACACCUUUCUCUCCCUCAUCCCCCAAAUUUAAUCAGUCUCCCAAAUCCUUUCAAAUCUUCCUCCUGGAUAUCCCUUGAACACAGCUGCUUUUCUCAUCUCUACAGUCACUU